rnacentral:rRNA from 1 species
GAUGAACGCUGGCGGCGUACCUAAUACAUGCAAGUCGAGCGAACAGACGAGGAGCUUGCUCCUCUGACGUUAGCGGCGGACGGGUGAGUAACACGUGGAUAACCUACCUAUAAGACUGGGAUAACUUCGGGAAACCGGCGCUAAUACCGGAGAAUAUAUUGAACCGCAUGGUUCAAUAGUGAAAGACGGUUUUGCUGUCACUUAUAGAUGGAUCCGCGCCGCAUUAGCUAGUUGGUAAGGUAACCGCUUACCAAGGGGACGAUGCGUAGCCGACCUGAGAGGGUGAUCGGCGACACUGGAGCUGAGACACGGUCCAGACUCCUACGGGAGGCAGCAGUAGGGAAUCGGCCGCAGUGGGCGAAAGCCUGACGGAGCAACGCCGCGUGAGUGAUGAAGGUCUUCGGAUCGUAAAACUCUGUUAUUAGGGAAGAACAAAUGUGUAAGUAACUAUGCACGUCGUGACGGUACCUAAUCAGAAAGCCACGGCUAACUACGUG